UGAUCUUUUUACGUCGAAUUUUUUUUUUUAUUUGCGCUUGACGAAUUAUUUUUUGACACUGAUAAAUCCACAAUUGAUAAUCAUAUUCAUCUGCCAUUGAAAUUUCGAUAAGUCACUUAAAUUUGAUGUUAAGAACUAGCUUCUAGGUAUAUCUCGAGAUAUCGACUUUCGAUAUUCAUACAUUUUUUUCGCCGCUGAUUUUUUUAAUUUGACGCUGGCAUUUGACGCUGGAUAUGUCUUUAUUUAUUUCAGCUAGGUGGAGCUAUAGUUUGACGCUCAAAGCUAGCGUCAAGCGUCAUCAUGAGGUUACAACU